rnacentral:misc_RNA from 1 species
UUCUCACACAAAUAUCUGGUGCAGCACCGUCGAGUCCACCUGGAUGACCGCCCCCUUAAGUGCCCCUGGAAAGGAUGCAAGAUGACGUUCAAAUGGGCAUGGGCACGGACUGAACACAUUAGGGUUCACACGGGUGCUCGUCCUUAUGUUUGUGCUGAAGAAGGUUGUGGGCAGACAUUCAGAUUCGUGUCAGACUUCAGUCGUCACAAGCGGAAGACUGGUCAUUCAGUGAAGAAAAGCAGGGGUUAAUUUAAUUCAAGAGAAAUAUAAUUUAAUUGCUAAUGGAAGUGUUGUUCAAUUGGCAGUGUAGGGCUAGGUUUAAAAAGAUGAUAGGUUUAGGUUUUCCCUGUAAUUGUCAUUCAGAUUAACAUUAAUUCUCUUUUUUGUCAUGUCAUUGUCAUUGGUCUUAAUUAGUCCCAUUU